AAGAGCCGGAUGCCUUAAUAGGGCAAGUCCGGUUCUGUGAGGGGGCUGGAAUGUGAGUUCCGCCUCUACUCGAC
rnacentral:ncRNA from 1 species